GGGCCCUUCGGGGUCAGCGGCAGACGGGUGAGUAACGCGUGGGAACGUACCAUUUGCUACGGAAUAACUCAGGGAAACUUGUGCUAAUACCGUAUGAGCCCCCCUUUAAAAUUUCAGGAAUCAUAAAAUGCCCUGGCAUUUUAUGGGGGGGAAAGAUUUAUCGGCAAAUGAUCGGCCCGCGUUGGAUUAGCUAGUUGGUGGGGUAAAGGCCUACCAAGGCGACGAUCCAUAGCUGGUCUGAGAGGAUGAUCAGCCACACUGGGACUGAGACACGGCCCAGACUCCUACGGGAGGCAGCAGUGGGGAAUAUUGGACAAUGGGCGCAAGCCUGAUCCAGCCAUGCCGCGUGAGUGAUGAAGGCCCUAGGGUUGUAAAGCUCUUUCACCGGUGAAGAUAAUGACGGUAACCGGAGAAGAAGCCCCGGCUAACUUCGUGCCAGCAGCCGCGGUAAUACGAAGGGGGCUAGCGUUGUUCGGAUUUACUGGGCGUAAAGCGCACGUAGGCGGGCUAAUAAGUCAGGGGUGAAAUCCCGGGGCUCAACCCCGGAACUGCCUUUGAUACUGUUAGUCUUGAGUAUGGUAGAGGUGAGUGGAAUUCCGAGUGUAAAGGUGAAAUUCGUAAAUAUUCGGAGGAACACCAGUGGCAAAGGCGGCUCACUGGACCAUUACUGACGCUGAGGUGCGAAAGCGUGGGGAGCAUACAGGAUUAAAUACCC
rnacentral:rRNA from 2 species